CAACCUCAACUCAUAUGGGACUACCCCCUGAAUUUAAGCAUAUUAAUUAGGGGAGGAAAAGAAACUAACAAGGAUUUUCUUAGUAGCGGCGAGCGAAAAGAAAUCAGUUCAGCACUAAGUCACUUUGUCUAUAUGGCAAAUGUGAGAUGCAGUGUACGGAACAUCAACAUUCUAGUAUGAGAAGUUAACGAUUUAAGUCCUUCUUAAAUGAGGCCAUUUACCCAUAGAGGGUGCCAGGCCCGUAUAACGUUAAUGAUUACUAGAUGGUGUUUCCAAAGAGUCGUGUUGCUUGAUAGUGCAGCACUAAGUGGGUGGUAAACUCCAUCUAAAACUAAAUAUAACCAUGAGACCGAUAGUAAACAAGUACCGUGAGGGAAAGUUGAAAAGAACUCUGAAUAGAGAGUUAAAUAGUACGUGAAACUGCUUAGAGGUUAAGCCCGAUGAACCUGAAUAUCCGUUAUGGAAAAUUCAUCAUUAGAAUUGUAAUAUUUUAAACAAUAUUAUAAUAAUAGUGUGCAUUUUUUCCAUAUAAGGACAUUGUAAUCUAUUAGCAUAAAUAUUUAUCAUAAAAUUAUGUCUGAUUGCUUAUUUGAAUUAUAUGCUUGGCAUUUUAACAUAAAAUAAAAGAUAUAAAUUUGAUAAAGUGCUGAUAGAUUUAUAUGAUUACAGUGCGUUAAUUUUUCGGAAUUAUAUAAUGGCAUAAUUAUCAUUGAUAUUUGUGUUUAUUAUAUGCAUUUGUAUGAUUAACAAUGCGAAAGAUUCACGAUACCUUCGGGA
rnacentral:ncRNA from 1 species